rnacentral:rRNA from 1 species
UACGGAGGGUGCGAGCGUUGUUCGGAAUCACUGGGCGUAAAGGGCGUGUAGGCGGUCCGCUAAGUCUGAUGUGAAAGCCCGGGGCUCACCCCCGGAAGUGCAUUGGAAACUGGCGGACUCGAGUCCCGGAGAGGAGAGUGGAAUUCCUGGUGUAGCGGUGAAAUGCGUUGAUAUCAGGAAGAACACCGGUGGCGAAGGCGGGUCUCUGGGCCGAUACUGACGCUGAGGAGCGAAAGCGUGGGGAGCGAACAGG